rnacentral:rRNA from 1 species
GCCUACGGGUCAUGAACUUCUUUUCCCGGNGAAGAAGCAAUGACGGUAUCCGGGGAAUAAGCAUCGACUAACUCUAUGGCAGCAGCCGCGGUAACACAGAGGAUGCAAGCAUUAUCCGGAAUGAUUGGGCGUAAAGCGUNUGUAGGUGGCUUUUUAAGUUCCCUGUCAAAUCCCAAGGCUCAACCAUAGACAGGCGGUGGAAACUACCAAGCUGGAGUACUGUAGGGGCAAAGGGAAUUUCCGGUGGAGCGGUGAAAUGCGUAGAGAUCGAAAAGAACACCAACGGCGAAAGCACUCUGCUGGGCCAAGACUGACACUGAGAGACGAAAGCUAGGGGAGCGAAUGGGAUUAAAUACCCCAGUAGUCCUAGCCGUAAAGGCGCUGUGCGUAUCGACCCGUGCAAUGCUGUAGCUAACGCGUUAAGU